CGCAGGCGCAGACGGCGGCGGCCCGCAACGCCCAGCUUUGGCUUGGGCGUUUCGACAACACCGGGCGCAGUGCAGUGUUCGAUUCGCAGGUCCGCAUC
rnacentral:tRNA from 1 species